GAGUCUAAACUAGUGCCACGUUUAUUUGGUUUAUUUGUUGCUUGCACAGAUCAAUGAAGAAAGCUGCUUUUUUUGGGAACAGAUGGUGUAGUUACAGCAUAUGCCAGCAGGGGCCAAUGGGAACUCUCCAGCCAAACAUAAAAUACUGCACUGACCAAUCAGCUUCCAGACUUAUGUGUGUCAUGUUUACUUCAAAUCCAUUGUCGGUCGGCCUCAGCCUGUCUUUCUUUCUUUCAUGCUUUCAUCCAGCUCCUGCAGUGUCUCACUGCACUCACUCACGUAUGACUGCAAAUAUCCCACCAUGAAGAGCUAUUAGUUGUAGAUUAAAGGUGAAUGAUCGGUGCAGCAGUGCAACAGAACGUUCUGUCCACAGUUAUCACACUUACACUCCCACUAUAUCAUCACACCACAUGCCAAGAACAUUAACUGCUGAAAAAGGGGAAAACAGGGGAAAAAAAGAGGAACAUUUGAAAAUCAGUCAGAAAAGGCAGGCAACAUGGAAACUAUUUCAGCAGGGUAUGUAGGAAAACAAGAUCAUAUACUAGAGAGCUGACUAACACACGGCAGCUCAUGUGGGAGAUCUGAGGGCCAGGAGACAUAGCAGCCUCACAAGGACGGUGGAGAUUUCAGAAGAACAAGGGCCUCUAGGAAUACACGUGGUGCUGUACUGUUCCUCUCUCAGCGGAAGAAAACCCUGAAUCAUCCAGAUGGACCAAAGACCCUCCACCGCUGAAGGUGAAGCCUGUGGAGUCCUCCUCAGGACAGCAAGCUGAGAUUCAAGAGUCCAACAGCAGUUUAGAGAGUUGCUCUCUGGCCUCCCCAUUACCCAUCAGGCUCUCACUCACCCCCAGAAGCAAAAGUGCUGACAGCCCUCUCCUGAAAAACGGCCUGGGACCAUCUCCUCUACAAAACCACAACAACAAAAAUGGAAAGAGGCUCAGUAUCAAUCUUAGGAAAAGGUCCUGAUGGUCUGGGCUUCACUGUUGUGACCAGAGAUUCUUCUGUACAUGGGCCUGGUCCCAUCCUCGUCAAAAACUGCUGUCAAAGAUGGCCACCUGAAGCCGAGUGCAUGUGCAUAUUCGGAAUGGUGUGGACUUCACUAAGCAGUGUGUUUGGUUGUGGCCAGACAGUAAGACAUGUUCCUUCCACGUGAGCUGGUAAGAGUCUUCUCUGUCUAAUUACAAUGCGUCUAAUGAAGUCAUCAGUCCCAUGGAAGAAAUCAUGUCUUAUACAUUUACCUCCUCCUAUCUGCUGCUAAUAAACGUUUCUUAAAGUCUCUUCCUCUCUUGGUCUUUUCUCCUUCCCAGUGCAUGAAUUGUCUGCUUGAUUGCGUAAAUAUAUACAAAACAUACACCAUAUUUGCUGGCAAGUGAGUUGAGUUGCUUGUGAAAUCUGAUUUUGUAGCAGGUGCACAAACAAACAAAACUCAUGCAUACAUGCAUCACAGUUCUAAAGUCUGGGAUAAGUAAGGAUUUUUAUAAAUUUUUUCAUGAAAGGAGGAUGCAUUAAAUUCAUCAAAAGUG